rnacentral:lncRNA from 1 species
CCGGUGCCACGUACCAUGGGUGCAAAGGGGAGCAGCAUAGUAGAGACGGGGUUCCACCGUGUUAGCCAGGAUGGUCUCGAUUUCCUGACCUCGUCAUCCUCCCGCCUUGGCCUCCCAAAGUGCUGGGAUUACAGGCUUGAGCCACCGCGCCCCGCUCUUUCGUGUUCCAAAGGCUUUUUAAAUAAACUUCCACUCCUGUCCUGGAUUCUGCUUUAUGGCCCUCAGUCGAAUUCUUUCUUCUGAGGAGGCAAGGACUGAAGUUGCUUCUGACCAGUACAGGAGAAAACGAAUACAGCAGGGAUGACUUCCACCAGCUCCACUUUGCAGCUCUGAGGUGUAUUAAAAAUGACCUGGAAGAAGUCAUGCCACGGGCCAGACCUUAACAUUCCUUUCGGCUUACCCCAGGAUUUCAGACAAAGCUUCACUUUCCUAACCAGUCACAAAUCAGAGAAUUUUUGAUUCCACCUAUGACCUGUGAGCUCCUGCUUCAAGAUAUUCCACCUUUUUUAGGCCAAACCAAUGUAUAACCUCCAAGUGUCGAUUUACACUUUCGACUGUAACUUCUGCUUUCCUGAGAUUUACCCCUGCCUUUAAAAACCCUUGCUUGUAAUCCCUCAGGGAGGCCGUGUAUUUAUUAAUCAUGAGCUGCCCAAUUCUCCUUGCUUGGUGCCCUGCAAAUAAACACCCUCUUUUCUCCCACUGCAAAACCUCAGUGUGGAUGUUUGGCUUUACUUCACCCCCAGGAAAGCAGACCCAGGUUUGACUCAGCAACAACAUCUGUUUCUAUUUUUCUCUGUAUAAAUAUUAAAAACCAUAAGUACAUGCUAUCUCCAAUUCCAAUAUAAACCCAUAGGGCUCAUUCU